UCAACCAGUUGUAAUCACUCUGAGAUCAGUCGAUAUCUUCCUGAGACAUCUUCUUCACCUUUUCUAGUAAAGGACUUCUGAGUUCAGGUCAAUACCAUCUGCAAAAUUCACCAAGACCUUCAAUACAACGUCAAUUAUACUGGUUCCAACAUUGAUCAGCCUCAAUUCAUAUCAGUAUCAUCCAGUACAACAGGCAUAACUUCGCUCAAAUUGUCCUCUUCCAUCGCUGUACUUCUGGCCUCUUUUGCCCAUUGAUGGGUCUAUUCACACUCUCCAUCCCAUCCACUACCUCCCUCAACCGGCCUUGUCGAUCCGCGAAGGCUCUGUGGGCAAGACUUCUCGGACGAGGUGUGGGUUGUGCAAAGACAGGAGAUCGAUGAUGGAGUAUUCAUCAUUGCGAUGUUUCAUGACCCUGAUGACUCUCUCAAUCUCUUGCCGCUCUCUGUGGCCUCACAUUGGACGUAUUGAUAGUCAUGCUCAGGCUUUUAUGUACUGGUACAGUAUUAUUUUGGAGGUGAAAGAGUUGGUUCGAUGUCACUGAUUCAAUAGUUG
rnacentral:sRNA from 1 species